AGUAACGCGUGGGUAACCUGCCUUAUACAGGGGGAUAACAGUCAGAAAUGGCUGCUAAUACCGCAUAAGCGCACAGAGCUGCAUGGCUCAGUGUGAAAAACUCCGGUGGUAUAAGAUGGACCCGCGUUGGAUUAGCUAGUUGGCAGGGUAACGGCCCACCAAGGCGACGAUCAGUAGCCGGCCUGAGAGGGUGAACGGCCACAUUGGGACUGAGACACGGCCCAA
rnacentral:rRNA from 1 species